UUUCGCAAUGCCCCGAAAGGGUGACGAAGCGACGCCGCGUGAGUGAGGAAGGCCUUCGGGUUGUAAAGCUCUGUCAGGAGUUAAGAAAUAUAAGUGUGUUAAUACCACAUUUAUUUGACGAAGGCUCCAAAGGAAGCCACGGCUAACUCUGUGCCAGCAGCCGCGGUAAUACAGAGGUGGCAAGCGUUGUUCGGAAUUAUUGGGCGUAAAGAGCACGUAGGUGGGUUUGUAAGUCAGAUGUGAAAGCCUUCUGUUCAACGGAAGAAUUGCAUCUGAAACUGCGAGUCUUGAGUGUAGGAGGGGAGAAUGGAACUUCUGGUGGAGCGGUGAAAUGCGUAGAUAUCAGAAGGAACGCCGGCGGCGAAAGCGAUUCUCUGGCCUAUUACUGACACUCAGUGUGCGAAAGCUAGGGGAGCAAACGGGAUUAGAUACCCCGGUAGUCCUAGCUGUAAACGAUGGGCACUAAGUAGAGGGGUUUUA
rnacentral:rRNA from 1 species